GUAUUUGCUUCGACAGCAAGUAUAAAACGUUCCGAGACAUACAAAUGGGGUUUGUUGUGGAAAAUGACGCAAGCCCGAAGCGAACCAACGCUCCGAACCCACGCAGAGGUGCACAGGGGGGGUGAUUGAGACGAAGAUGGAGACGAGGCGUGCACGUUGCCCCCGGGGGAGCCAGCUACAACCUCGCUCUAGCUUUCAUUAAUGAUCCUUCCGCAGGUUCACCUACGGAAA
rnacentral:misc_RNA from 1 species